AGAUGGAUGGACCAACGUAAGCCAAGUCGGCAUAGAGUACCAAUUGUUAGGCAGCCGUCCAUGGAGGAACGAGAAAGCAAUAUUUCCAAGAAUUUUAACAAAAAGAAAACAACAGCAUAAAACAAACACCUCUGCUUGAGUUAUUCUUCUUAUUCUUUCUUCUUUUUUCCCAAUUUGAAAGAAUAUUCCGUUAUCAAACGCAACCAGCCAUCGAAAAACAUCGGCUUGCUUAAAUUCAGUUAUUUUCUCAUCAACAGUUACACCACUAUAGACGAAGAACUCAUUUCUCUUCUCACUUUCGCCAUCAUUUCGACAAAAAUGGAAAACCAGCCGACGAUCAUGGUGACCAACGAUGACGGUAUCGACGCGCCAGGACUGCGAGCGCUGGUUCAGGUCUUGGUCUCUACCCGGCGAUUCCAGGUCCUUGUUUGCGCUCCGGACUCGGAGAAAUCAGCUACGAGCCAUAGCAUUACAUGGCGUGAUCCAAUUGCUGCUCGACGAGUGGAAAUUGAAGGAGCUACUGCCUAUGCAAUUGCUGGAACUCCAGCUGAUUGUACUUCUUUAGGAAUCUCCAAAUCACUCUUUCCUUUAAUUCCUGACCUGGUAAUUAGCGGCAUAAACAUGGGGAGCAACUGUGGUUAUCACAUUGUUUACUCAGGAACAGUCGCUGGUGCUCGAGAGGCCUUCUUUAAUGAUAUACCUGCAAUCUCUGUAUCAUAUAAUUGGUUUGGAGGUCAGAGCAAAGUUGAGAACUUCACUCUUUCUGCUGAGGCUUGCAUACCAAUAAUAACUGCAGUACUCGUUGAGAUCAAGAAUAAAACUUAUCCUUUAAGGUGUUUUUUGAAUAUUGAUCUUCCAACAGAUGUUGCUAAUAAUAAGGGGUAUAAGCUGACCAAGCAGGGUAAAAGCAUAUAUAAAAUGGGGUGGAGCCAAGUUACUUCUGACAUGCAAGGAGGGAAAAUGUUAUCAACAAUGACAAUGGAUACGGAUUCUACUGCACCAAUAGAGACUGGUGCAUUAAAUUUAUCACAAGAUCAUCUUUUGUUCAAGAGAGAAGUAUUAGGAGGGAAACUUGAUGAAGGUGACAUCGAUGAUGCGGACUUCAAAAUUCUUCAGCAAGGAUAUAUUACUGUAACUCCCCUUGGUGCCCUCUCCCAUGCAGAGAUAGGCUGCCACUCAUACUUUAAAGAUUGGCUGCCAAGUGUUGGACAAUACCCGUCUGCGUCGUCCUUAUAAUCCUUGGAAUCCCUGCCCAGUGAGAACAGCACAACACAAGCCUUGUAAUUGUUCAUGCAGGGCUGUUGCUUUUCAGCGGAUCAAAAGGGCUUUUUCAACAGCAAGAGCGAACGAACUGAUUCUUUGGGCUCCUUGCGUAUCUGAUGCAAUUUUUUACCUGCCUCCAGCUGACGAGGUGUUACAUGCAAUUGGACUGUUCUCCAAUAAAGAAUGUCAUAAAUGCUUUGAAAACUUUAUUUAGCAAGAAGAGCCCGUACUAUCUGUUCCAAACCCGUUGGUCAAAAUGGUAAUAACUUGUGUGUUUGCUUCAAGUUACUAUGAGAAUUUAGAGAUUUCGUUUUUUUUUAUUCCUUU